GGUUGUAAUUAUUGUUUUGGUGUUUAAAACGAAAAUUAAUAAUUGCAUUAAAAUGGGAAAGAGGUUAAAGUCCUCUGCGGUCCCGCCGCCGUAAGGUUUAAAAAAAGACUGUUAUCUCACUGGGAAACCGGGAAGAGGGUCUGCUUUGCAAACCAAGCCGGAAGACCUGCCAUAUUUAAUCACCAGAU
rnacentral:ncRNA from 1 species